AUUGAACGCUGGCGGCAGGCCUAACACAUGCAAGUCGAGCGGAUCGGCGGCCGGGUGAGUAAUGCCUAGGAAUCUGCCUGGUCGUGGGGGAUAGCGUCCGGAAACGGGCGCUAAUACCACAUCCUAUCAGAUUAGCCUAGGUCGGCUUGGCUAGGUGGUGUGGUAAAGGCCUACCAAGGCGACGAUCCGUAACUGGUCUGAGAGGAUGAGCAGUCACACUGGAACUGAGACACGGUCCAGACUCCUACGGGAGGCAGCAGUGGGGAAUAUUGGACAAUGGGCGAAAGCCUGAUGCAGCCAUGCCGCGUGUGUGAAGAAGGCCUUCGGGUUGUAAAGCACUUUCAGCGGGGAGGCGUUACCCGCAGAAGAAGCACCGGCUAACUCCGUGCCAGCAGCCGCGGUAAUAC
rnacentral:rRNA from 1 species